rnacentral:rRNA from 1 species
GCGAGUGAGCGGGAAACGAUCAAAUUUGAAAUCUGGUAGCCUCAGGCUGCCCGAGUUGUAAUCUAUAGAAACGUUUUCCGCGUUGGCCCAUGUACAAGUCUCCUGGAAUGGAGCGUCAUAGAGGGUGAGAAUCCCGUCCUUGACAUGGACUACCAGUGCUUUGUGAUACGUUUUCAAAGAGUCGAGUUGUUUGGGAAUGCAGCUCAAAAUGGGUGGUAAAUUCCAUCUAAAGCUAAAUAUUGGCGAGAGACCGAUAGCGAACAAGUACCGUGAGGGAAAGAUGAAAAGCACUUUGGAAAGAGAGUUAAACAGUAUGUGAAAUUGUUGAAAGGGAAACGAUUGAAGUCAGUCAUGUCUAUUGGACUCAGCCGGUUCUGCCGGUGUACUUCCUUUAGAUGGGGUCAACAUCAGUUUUGAUCGCUGGAAAAGGGCAGGAGGAAUGUAGCACUCUCGGGUGAACUUAUAGCCUUCUGUCGUAUACAGUGGUUGGGACUGAGGAACGCAGCAUGCCUUUAUGGCCGGGGUUCGCCCACGUACAUGCUUAGGAUGUUGACAUAAUGGCUUUAAACGACCC